GUUGGUGUAGUGGUAACAUCUGAGCUUGUCAUCAGACAAGGUUCGCUCGAGCCCGGGGUUCAAUUCCCCGAC